rnacentral:rRNA from 1 species
AUUGAACGCUGGCGGCAGGCUUGAUACAUGCAAGUCGAGGGGUAGCAAGAUUGUAGCAAUACUAUUGUUGACGACCGGCAAACGGGUGCGGAACACGUACACAACCUUCCUACAAGUGGGGAAUAGCCCAGAGAAAUUUGGAUUAAUACCCCGUAACAUAGCGAUGUGGCAUCACAUUGCUAUUAUAGCUUCGGCGCUUGUUGAUGGGUGUGCGGCUGAUUAGAUAGUUGGCGGGGUAACGGCCCACCAAGUCUACGAUCAGUAGCUGAUGUGAGAGCAUGAUCAGCCACACGGGCACAGAGACACGGGCCCGACUCCUACGGGAGGCAGCAGUAAGGAAUAUUGGACAAUGGACGCAAGUCUGAUCCAGCCAUGCCGCGUGAAGGAUUAAGGUCCUCUGGAUUGUAAACUUCUUUUAUAAGGGACGAAAAAAGGUCUUUCUAGAUCGUCUGACGGUACCUUAUGAAUAAGCACCGGCUAACUCCGUGCCAGCCGCCGCCGUAACAC